AUUUAAUUCUCUAAAUUGCCUAUUAUUUCAUGAUUCAGAGUUUUACUGAAACCAUAAAAGUAACCAUCCUUGAAUCUCUUGGAAGCUAGUGCACAACAUGGUAUGUAACAAAGCCAGCAUGCUCUGACAAAACUUAAGAGGUUUAAAAAAAAAAAAAAAAAAAAACAACAA